rnacentral:rRNA from 1 species
AGUGAACGCUGGCGGUAGGCCUAACACAUGCAAGUCGGACGGCAGCACAGUAAGAGCUUGCUCUUACGGGUGGCGAGUGGCGGACGGGUGAGGAAUACAUCGGAAUCUACUUUUUCGUGGGGGAUAACGUAGGGAAACUUACGCUAAUACCGCAUACGACCUACGGGUGAAAGCAGGGGAUCUUCGGACCUUGCGCGAUUGAAUGAGCCGAUGUCGGAUUAGCUAGUUGGCGGGGUAAAGGCCCACCAAGGCGACGAUCCGAAGCUGGUCUGAGAGGAUGAUCAGCCACACUGGAACUGAGACACGGUCCAGACUCCUACGGGAGGCAGCAGUGGGGAAUAUUGGACAAUGGGCGCAAGCCUGAUCCAGCCAUACCGCGUGGGUGAAGAAGGCCUUCGGGUUGUAAAGCCCUUUUGUUGGGAAAGAAAAGCAGCAGGUUAAUACCCCGCUGUUCUGACGGUACCCAAAGAGUAAGCACCGGCUAACUUCGUG